rnacentral:lncRNA from 1 species
AGGCAUACAUAAUUAUACUUGUAGACAAUAUUGCUCGUGAGAAAUGUUAAAAAAAGUUUUGAUUAUAGAAUAUGAUUCAUAUAUGGUGGCUUUGACUAUUUGUUCCACGUGUUCUCAUUUUUUGAAAAUUAUGUAUCAAAUAGCAUAUUUUGCUUACUACGUUCUGUAACACCCAAACCCAUUAUUUAUAUAUUUCUACCUUUAGUAAAAUCUUUUUCAAAAUACGCAACGGAAAAUCACAUUUAAUUUAUUGAAUAUUGGUUCGAGUAUUACACUCCUCUAUCAAAAUAAUACUAAAGUAAUUAAUUAGUAAAAACAGUGUUUAUACAAAAUAAUCAUUUCUCAAAAUGUAUAGUUUUACAAAUAAAUAUCGAAAGUCAUAAAGAUCCUAUAGUCUAAAUACAACCCUUUCCCGUGUCACAAUCAGAGCGGAGCUUCAUCGACGACUCGACAUCGAAUACCACAAAAUCCUGUAAAAUCUGGAUCCCCAACGAUCCAGCACAUAACACAUAAAAGAGAGUUAGAAAACAUACUCAAAAUAUACAAGUGUAAGUAAAUGGUACUUAAAC